AUUGAACGCUGGCGGCAGGCCUAACACAUGCAAGUCGGACGAGUGGCGGACGGGUGAGUAAUGCUUGGGAAACUAGCUUAUGGAGGGGGAUAACUACGGGAAACUGUAGCUAAUACCGCGUACCAUAGGAUGAGCCCAAGUGGGAUUAGGUAGUUGGGGAGGGAAAGGCUCACCAAGGCGACGAUCCCUAGCUGGUCUGAGAGGAUGACCAGCCACACUGGGACUGAGACACGGCCCAGACUCCUACGGGAGUCAGCAGUGGGGAAUAUUGCGCAAUGGGGGCAACCUGACGCAGCCAUGCCGCGUGAAUGAAGAAGGCCUUCGGGUUGUAAAGUCCUUUCUGUUGGGAGGCGUUAACUACAGAAGAAGCACCGGCUAACUCCGUGCCAGCCGCCGCGGUAAUUC
rnacentral:rRNA from 1 species